UACAGAGGGGGCAAGCGUUAUUCGGAAUUAUUGGGCGUAAAGGGCGCGUAGGCGGCUUUGCAAGUGACGGGUGAAAUCCCUCGGCUUAACCGAGGAACUGCCUGUCGGACUGCAUGGCUUGAGACCGGGAGAGGUGAGUGGAAUUCCCAGUGUAGCGGUGAAAUGCGUAGAUAUUGGGAGGAACACCAGUGGCGAAGGCGGCUCACUGGACCGGUACUGACGCUGAUGCGCGAAAGCGUGGGGAGCAAACAGG
rnacentral:rRNA from 1 species